GCCGGCAUAGCUCAGUAGGUAGAGCAGCGCAUUCGUAAUGCGAAGGUCGGGGGUUCGACUCCUCUUGCCGGCA
rnacentral:tRNA from 2 species